AGAGUUUGAUCAUGGCUCAGAAUGAACGCUGGCGGCGUGCCUAAUACAUGCAAGUCGAACGAGGAAUCUUUGUAUUCGUAUAGAGAUUUCCUAGUGGCGAACGGGUGAGUAACGCGUUGGUGACCUGCCCCGAAGAGAGGGAUAACAGCUUGAAAGAGCUGCUAAUACCUCAUGUGAUCUUUAGGAUUAGAUGCCUUUUGAUUAAAUGGAUUUAUUCGCUUCGGGAGGGGCCUGCGUCCCAUCAGCUAGUUGGUAGGGUAAUGGCCUACCAAGGCUAUGACGGGUAGGGGACCUGAGAGGGUGACCCCCCACACUGACACUGAAACACGGGUCAGACACCUACGGGUGGCAGCAGUAGGGAAUAUUGGUAAUGGGCGAAAGCCUGAACCAGCAACGCCGCGUGUGCGAUGAAGGCCUUCGGGUUGUAAAGCACUUUUUGAGGGGAUGAGGAAGGACAGUACCCUCAGAAUAAGCCUCGGCUAACUACGUGCCAGCAGCCGCGGUAAAACGUAGGAGGCGAGCGUUAUUCGGAUUUACUGGGCGUAAAGCGCGUGCAGGCGGUUCGGUAAGUUGGAUGUGAAAGCUCCUGGCUCAACUGGGAGAGGUCGUUCAAUACUGUCGGACUAGAGGAUGAGAGAGGGAGGUGGAAUUCCGGGUGUAGUGGUGGAAUGCGUAGAUAUCCGGAGGAACACCAGUGGCGAAGGCGGCCUCCUGGCUCAUUUCUGACGCUAAGACGCGAAAGCUAGGGUAGCAAACGGGAUUAGAGACCCCGGUAGUCCUAGCUGUAAACGAUGAACACUAGGUGUAGCGGGUAUUGACCCCUGCUGUGCCGCAGUUAACGCAUUAAGUGUUCCGCCUGGGGAGUACGACCGCAAGGUUAAAACUCAAAGGAAUUGACGG
rnacentral:rRNA from 1 species